rnacentral:rRNA from 1 species
AGCAGCCGCGGUAAUUCCAGCUCCAAUAGCGUAUAUUAAAGUUGUUGCAGUUAAAAAGCUCGUAGUUGAAUUUCGGAAUCAGUAUGUCGGUCGUGCCUCCGGUAUGUACUGGCGUCACUGGUUCCUCCCUUCUGACGAACCAUCAUGCUAUUAAUUUAGUGUGGUGGGAAAUCAGGACUGUUACUUUGAAAAAAUUAGAGUGUUUAAAGCAGGCUCACGCUUGAAUACAUUAGCAUGGAAUAAUGAAAUAGGACGUUGAUCCUAUUUUGUUGGUUUCUAGGAUUGACGUAAUGAUUAAUAGGGAUAGUUGGGGGCAUUAGUAUUCAAUUGUCAGAGGUGAAAUUCUUGGAUUUAUUGAAGACUAACUACUGCGAAAGCAUUUGCCAAGGAUGUUUUCAUUAAUCAAGAACGAAAGUUAGGGGAUCGAAGACGAUCAGAUACCGUCGUAGUCUUAACCAUAAACUAUGCCGACUAGGGAUCGGAUGAUGUUAAUUUUUUAAUGUACUCAUUCGGACCG